UACGGGGGGAGCAAGCGUUGUUCGGAUUUACUGGGCGUAAAGGGCGCGUAGGCGGCGUAACAAGUCACUUGUGAAAUCUCCGGGCUUAACUCGGAGCGGUCAAGUGAUACUGUUGUGCUAGAGUGCGGAAGGGGCUACUGGAAUUCUCGGUGUAGCGGUGAAAUGCGUAGAUAUCGAGAGGAACACCUGCGGCGAAGGCGGGUAGCUGGGCCGACACUGACGCUGAAGCGCGAAAGCCAGGGGAGCAAACGGG
rnacentral:rRNA from 1 species